CUCCGCCCAGUUGGAGCUUCCAGGUUGCUUUGUUUACCUAAUCAAGCCUGGGCAAUGGCGGGCGCCCCUCCCCCAGCCUCGCUGCCGCCUUGCAGUUUGAUCUCAGACUGCUGUGCUAGCAAUCAGCGAGACUCUGUGGGUGUAGGACCCUCCGAGCCAGGUGCGGCAUAUAAUCUCGUGGUGCGCCGUUUUUUAAGCCUGUCGGAAAAGCGCAGUAUUCGGGUGGGAGCGACCGGAUUUUCCAGGUGCCGUCCAUCACCCCUUUCUUUGACUCGGAAAGGGAACUCCCUGACCCCUUGCGCUUCCCAAAUGAGGCAAUGUCUCACCCUGCUUCGGCUCGUGCACGGUGCGCGCACCCACUGACCUGCGCCCACUGUCUGGCACUCCCUAGUGAGAUGAACCCGGUACCUCAGAUGGAAAUGCAGAAAUCACCCGUCUUCUGCGUUGCUCACGCUGGGAGCUGUGGACCAGAGCUGUUCCUAUUCGGCCAUCUUGGCUCCUCCCCCGGGUGUUGGUGUCCCUCUGUUGCCCAGGCUGGAGUGCAGUGGCAAGACUGGCUCACUGCAACCUCCACCUCCUGGGAUCAAGCGAUCCUCCCAUCUCAUCCUCCAGGAGCUGGGACUAAAGGACACUUGGUCAGCCAGAAAGCUUGUGCUGCUGAGUGAAGAAGGCAGAUUUGGUGCAUUGGAAGACAGCAACUGCAGAUGCAGAGGAACUGGAAGGGAAUCACAGCUGGUCAUGCCAAAGGGGCAGCCCAACCUAUGUUCAUUCAGCAACCAUGGCAGUUUCUCUACAUCUGUUUUCAAUUCGAGCUCCAGGUCAUGUUUUUCAGUUAGAAUAAAAUGUGAAAACUAUAAAAUAGACCCCCCUAAUUUCUUUUCCCAUAUCCCUUCCUCAUGAUCUUUUAUCUUCUUGAAUGAAGGAGUAUCAAGGUUAUUGAGCUGAGAAGUGGAAACUAGUGGACUUUUUUAAAGGCAAGACAGAUAAUAUCAGAUUUGAUAUGAUAGGCAUGAGAAAUACAUAAAAAGUAAUUACAGACUUUCAAAAAGUGCCUUUACACUUUUCUAGUGAUAAGCCUUUACAGUCAAACACCGAUGCCUCCCCUCAUUACCAAAAGCUAAAUUUAAAGGAGCUACACGGAAUGCUAACUAAGCAUAGUAAAAUGGUCAUCAUCAUCACAACAGAGUUUUUAUCAGGUGGAAAUUCUUUGUCUCUGUGCUCAAACCUAAAGAUCCUCUAAUUUUUGUCACUCCCUUCACUAGCUCACCUCUGCCAGUGUGACUAUUUUCAUGCAUGCCACUUGAAGGUUGACUCUUCUCUUAGAUUGUCCUUUUGGCAUACACUGAUUGCAGUAAAUACCAUCUUGCACUUUGGAGCCUGUGAAACACUCUUCACUUCUUGGCCACACUCCAUCCAUGUUCCUAUCUAAACUAUAAAUUACUUAACGGUAGAAAAGUUGUCUUAUUUUUCCUGCUUUUCUCCUCAGUGACAGUGUUUACUCAAAUCUAGAAUUUAAAAUAAGCAGAAAAGUGUUAAAAGUAUUUUGUUUGUCUAGUAAUAAUAUAUAGACCUUUUUUUUUUAUUUAAAAUGAGUUAAUGUAAGUCAAGCAUUUAUACCAGUGCCUGACAUAUAGGAAUGACUAUACUGCUCUUAUUGCCAUUAUCAUAAUUACUUGUAUAUAACCUACAAGUUGAUACAUAAAAUUUUCAUUACAAGCUCUUGAUUUCUUGAGACCUUCAGCUCCUGGCUACACCAUAAGCAUGAAAUAAUCCAUGCUUUACAAGCCAUCUGGGUACAUGUGGACUUUUUUCCUAUGUUCUGUAUCACUAUGUAGGCAGACAAUUGCCCAGAAUUUCAUUAGCUUUAAAAAUAAAAUACAAAAAACAUGCAAAACACUUUAAGACUAAAGGUAAUAUAUUAUGCAUGGGGACAGGAACUGUGUCUCUUUUACUAUACUCCCAAACACUAACAUGACAUCAGGCAUCUACUAGAGGCUCAACAAAUAGAUGUGGAAUAAAUGAAUAAAUAAGUAAGAAAAAAGUGACUCUAUUUGAAGGAGAAGAAAGGAAAUAAAAGGAGAAAGAAGAAAGAGAGGAAGAAAUAAAGAGAGAAAGAAAAAAGCUGAAUGAAGAGCCAUGAUUUUGCUUAUUGUGGAACGAAUGGCAGGUAGUUGAUACAUUUCCUAAUUCUUGAGCAGUUUUGGCUCAGACUCUGAGUACUUAAGUAAAGAUCCCAAAAUAUUUUUCCCAACAUGACCUUUUCAAUGCUAUUACAUGGAUUUAUCCUUCUCCUGUUCCAAUAGUUCUCUACAGCAAAAGUUCCGUGUUAUAAGUAUGACCUCUGCUCUGUUCUGCAGAGCACACCUCACAUGCCUACCUUAGUCCCUGUGCCUACUUCUGACUUCAGGCAAAGACCGAGCAGACAGUUCUGUGCCAGCUCUGACUCACUUUGCCCUGACAGAGUCAUGCCUCAGGCAUACAAGUCUCAAGUCUUUCCUCAUCUGGCCUCAAUUUUUUUUUCUAUGCCCCAAGAAUAGCUUGAUUGUCCCAUGCUCAGCUGUGGCUUGGAAAUGCCAAACAGUAAAUGCUCUUGGUGGGUAAUCCUCAACCAAAGACAGAUGGGAGCCAAUUGGCAGCUGAUUCUCCUCCCAUACUUUUUUUAUAUGGACCGUUCUCAUCAGUCUUUCACACAGUUCCCACAGCAACCAUAGUAGAAGCCUCAAUAAACCUGAGAUUGGCUUUAUCUCCUUCCCUUACCUGUUCUCAGUUGCUUCCUGUGAUAGACUCUCAAAUUAAUUACCUGUAGUCAAGCCCCCAAAUUAGUCACCUCUGUAUCUAAUAUUUUUCUUUUCUUUCUUAAUAUACAAAUAUUACAUAACUAUGUAUAUAUAUAUACAUAGAUACGUGUGUGUACAUAUAUUUUCUCCCUCCAUAC
rnacentral:lncRNA from 10 species